UACGAAGGGGGCUAGCGUUGUUCGGAAUCACUGGGCGUAAAGCGCACGCAGGCGGAUCGAUAAGUCGGGUGUGAAAGCCCGGGGCUCAACCUCGGAAUUGCCGUCGAUACUGUCGGUCUCGAGUCCGGGAGAGGUGAGGGGAAUUCCUAGUGUAGAGGUGAAAUUCGUAGAUAUUAGGAAGAACACCAGUGGCGAAGGCGGCUCACUGGCCCGGUACUGACGCUCAGGUGCGAAAGCGUGGGGAGCAAAAAGG
rnacentral:rRNA from 1 species